rnacentral:tRNA from 1 species
AUAGUCCAGUGAAAAGUAUGUUGAACUUGUAAUUCAAAGGUAUGGAUUCAAGUUCCAUU